AUGGGACUUGUACACUUCUGUACUGGAUGGACCGCUCAUGGAUUGGGAUCAAAGGGACGCGAGCGUGCUGAUGUCCAUCGGGUAGGCGUCGUUGGGCGACUGGGCGCGGUAGGACCGCCGGCCGACGAUGAUGUUGGCCGCCUCCGACGGGUGGAAGGCGUCCCAGAAGAUGUGCUGGUCCCUGUUGGCGCAGGGCGCCUGGUACGGCAGGCACGUCACCUCCCCGUUGUUCCGGCCCACGCCGCAGCACCCGGCGGUGGACUCCGUGAACCCGUAGGCGGCGGCGUUGGCCAGGAUGUCGGCGAAGAUGUUGUAGGCGUUGAUGUAGGUGAAGUGCGCGCCGGGGAGGGCGUUCAUCUGGUCCACGAGGCCGACCAGCCGCCGGUUGAAGAUCUGGAUGGCGCUGUCGAUGCGGCCGACGCAGGUGGCGCCGUCGGGGCUGUAGCGCGCCAGCUCGUUGGGGGCGCAGCCGACCUGGCCGACCCCGAUCAGGGCCACCUUCCGGGCGCCGUAGCUGUACAUGGCCUGGAGGUAGCGGCGGUAGUCGGCGAUGAGCGAGUCGGCGAACUGCUCCGGCGUGUAGCGGCUGCCGGUGCUGUAGAAGGCCGGCUGGAAGUAGUUGUUGAGGUAGUCGUUGCUGCCCAUGCCCACCGUGAAGAUGCACUGGCUCAGCCGCUCCGACGCCGUGUCCCGGUCGCCCAGGAUGUUCACCAGCGUCUGCACCGCCGUCUGGUAGUUCUGCACCUGCCCCGCGAACGGGAUCCGCCCGCCCUGCAUGCAUCACGCCCACUCCAUGAGAUCAAUUUCUUUUGGCUCUGCGACAUGCAUGAUCGUCGUGAGCUUGUGAUAUGCACACUCCACGACGUACCAGCUGCUGGCCGGUCUCGGCACGGAUCCCGGCGGCGGCGGAGGCGAAGUUGA
rnacentral:rRNA from 1 species